rnacentral:lncRNA from 1 species
GGAAGAUGAUGUGAUGCAAUUUAUAUUACCAAAAGAGAUUGCCAGCAUGAAAUCUAAUAUAUUUAUGAAAUGAAAUUGUGAUCAGAAUAGUCAAAUUACAAUGUUUAAUAUAUGAACUUAUUCACAAACUUACGCCAAUGAACUGUUGUGGCUUUUUGAUCAGCACAGCAGAACCUUCUAAUUAUGCAGAUAGAUAAACUUAUUCACAAACUGAGAAAAAGAAAUCAGAAUUUAGUUAUGAUUUGUUGAUAGUUUUAUUGACAGUAGUGUUUUAUUGAAUUUAAAUUGACAAGUCGAAUUCCGGUGUAUGAACUACGAAGGACAUACAAAGAGUAAGAAGUUGAAGUAGCUGCCUGAGUCCUGACAUCACAAAAUGCACACCUCUCGACAAUGAUAUUCUCUGACUGAAACAAACUUUGUCCUGAUACUCGGUUUCCUUCAUUCAGCUGUCCGUUUCCAUCAAAGUCUGCUGUCUCAUCAUUCCUACUGCAUAAAUUAGAGUGAUGCCUUCCAGAAUGGUUCUGUGUUACAUUGAUUGAUUAUAACAGGCCAGUCUUAUUGAUGCAUCGGCUACUCAUUCUAAUGAAGAAAAGAUGGAGCCACCUGCGAAUUUUGCAUGUAGACUGUGAUCCAAACACCAUGGAAGCUCCCACCCACCACGAGGACAGAGGUUUUUUCUCGAGUUGGAUGCCAUUGAAUUCGACAAAAUUCCAUUUGAAAACAAAGUGGCAGCAUGUCAUUCAAUUUUUGAUCACUUCUUCUUAACACUUAAAAAAAGAAAUAAAAUGAAAACUGGAGUAAAAGGCCACAUGACAUCCUCACCGUGUAAUUGAUUGAUGCAAUUUAUCCAGCGCCUUCUUUUCUCAUGUCUCGCAUGAUAAUGAACACACGAUGUUUGGUAACGAAGUUCAGCCAAUAUUGCCUACGUCUCCGACUGCAGAGCAGCUGCAGUUCCUUUUUAUUAUGAGAGAAAGAGUAAUGUUUACAAUGCACAACGUGUGUAUAAAAACUAUUGUCCAGAUUACAACAUCAACCGUGAACCGUACCCCCAGUCGCCAUCACGCAACAAACUAUGAUACCAUUGUUCCUUAUGCUCCAUUCCCAGUCUUUACCCUCUUUGAACUUUGAAUUUUUUUCUUUAUCAUCAUCUACUCAUAUUUCCUCCAAUUCUUAUCACUUUGAGAACUAAGGCAGGUGUUCAAUUUGUUCUUUUUUCAUCAGUCUUCAAUUCAGCGAGAGAUUUGAAAUUGAAACCAUAUUGUCGACAACUUGAAGCAAAAAUGGCAUCUUUCCAUAAGCAUCACGGUAUCCGUAUGCUUCAUCCAAACCUACAAUAUAUGGUAGCAACAAUAACAUGUCAUUAUAUCCAAAUACUUCUGAUUAGGCUUUCUUUGAAGUGUAACCUGAAGGAUUUUUCAAGUAAUUAUCUCAUCAGCGGAUGUAUCCAUGAAUUGAUAAAGACAUGCACAUAUGCUUUUUUUGUAUGUAUUUUACACAAGAAAAAAUAGAGCAUUUACAAAUGGAAGAAAAAAUAUAAUAAAUAUGCAUUAACUUUCAACCAUACAAAGAUCCAUAUGAAUUUUUAAAACUGUGCAGCAAUUAGCUAAGUCUCCAAGAGAUAAUUACAGGCAUUCAUGAAAAGGUAUUGGAUUUUCCAUAAACGUCCGGGAGGUUAGCAAACAGAAGAAGCUCUUUCAGUUACUUGUUCUUCAGAUGCAAUCUCUCCUUGACACUGAUGAUGAGAUGGUUGAGAGGAUCUCACCAGCAGAAUGAGCAUCUACCAAUUUUGUACGUAGACUGUGAUCCAAACAUCGUCGAAGCUCCUGUCUACCAUGAGGACAGAGGUUUUUUCUCGAGUUGGAUGCCAUUGAAUGCACCAAAAUUCCCUUUGGCAACAAAGUGGUAUGUCUCAGGUUUUCUGAGCCGACACAAAAGGAAAAGAUUUCAAAAACUAUGGGACACAAAGUCGGAAGAAUAACAAAGGGGAAUUAUGCAUUUCAAUUCAAUAUGUUAUAUGACAAUUUGUUGCAGAUAACUUUGAAACAUAGCUGUCUCAUUGGUUAUAAUUAUUAUGCCAUCCAGCUGCAUUUUUCAAAGUAAAAUAAAUUUCAUGAUUCAAUCAGCGAUAUAACAAAGCUUUUAAUACAACUUUAGACAACUCAGUAGAAUUUUGAAUUAAGAGGUCAUGAUAUGUCCAUAUCAUUAUUGGCAAAAGUGUAUCCCCUAAAAAUAUCAAGAUUGGAUUAGAAGCAAUUAAAGGCAAGAAUUAAAGCUCUGCUAUAUGAUUUCUAUCAAACCAUUUUGUGUUUUUUUAUUGCUUCAGAAGACUAUCUGUUGGAAACUGGUUUUAAUUGUAAGAAUUCGAACUGAAACUCGAUUUGUGUCAGUUUACCUAAUCACCCAAAUGCAUUGCUUCCUUAUGUAUUUAAAACUACAGCCUAAGGCACAACCAUGGCACAAACUGGCUUAUUACUUACAGUAAAAAAUUUAAUGAAGACUCUCUUGGAUAAAAAAAAAAGGUUUGUAAUUUUUUAAGUAAUUUCAGAUAGGACACACAUUGACACAUAUAGAACACAGUCCAUAGAUAUUCUAAUGAUUAAAAGGUGGGAAGAAAAACACAUACAAAAAUAAGGGAAGAUAUUGACAACGAGUUUGUGAAAUUAGCAUCUGAUUUUGUUGAAAUUAAAAAAAAAAAAAAAUUGACAAAAUUAUCACAAUUCUAUCAAAUUAACCGUGAAUCAAAACAGAAUAGGUCGGUUAAUCCAAACAUGCACACAGAGAGUAAUUUACCUGAAGAGAAGAGAAAGAAGAUUAAUUGCAUCACCAUCACACUCCAAUAAAUAAAUCUUAACAAAAUCACCACAAUCCCAAACUCCCAUCACACCAUUCCAAACGCAGAAUCCCUCUUGACCUGGGAAAAUAAAUUGAACUCAGAAAAUAAGAAUAUAAAAUUUAAGAAAAUAAAUUUAUUAAAAAAAGAAAAAAUUAAGAAAAUAUUUGUUCGUACCUUCCGAACCAAAAAGAUUUGACCAAAAGUGGGACCCAUAACAUCUCAUUCCUGUUCAAUGAGGUCAAUUGUCACCAUAGGGAUGUGACAAAUUGUAUGCCAACGCUCUCCUCCCUCCUUUUCAUACUUCUCCUUUAUUAUUCCACAUUCUUCAAUCCGCAAAGUAUAAAGGGAGUUGGGUAGAUCCUCCUUCUCUGGCAAGCUCUCAAGACUAGGACAGUUCCAAAUAUAUAGGGAUUUGAGAGAUUUGAGGUGGAGAAAACCCUUUUUGUUCAUUAUUCUUAGCUUUGAACAAUUUCUCAAAUUAAGAUCAGUAAGACUUGGUGGCAGCAGAUUCUCCUCUGGGAAGGACUCCACAUUUUCAAACUCAUCACUAACAGAGAAUUCUAACAAGGAACUGAGUUGGAACAAACCCCACUCCUCUCUCGAACCAAUCAGUUUUGGGCAAUUGUAUAUUUUAAGGUUCCUCAAGUUGGAAGGCAAACCACCCAUUGGAAACGAUUCCAGCUCUGGACAAUCGUACAGAUACAGAUAAUGAAGUUUGGUGAACAAGUGUAGUGAAAAAGGCAAGGAGGAGGAGUGCCAUCCUUUUAUUGAAAGUGUAGAAAGGGAAUUAUAGCAACGUAAAUCCAAAGAAGGACAUUCCACAAAGCCAGUAAAAUCCAACACCAACUCUUCGAGAAAGGGAAAAUUGAUUACAUUUUGGUGCAAGGAGAACUCGGUGUACUGAUUAUAACAAAGGAAUAAACUUUUCAAGCUGGUCGGCAAUUCAUUUACCAAAAUUCUAUCACAUCUCUGUAUAUCUAACUCUAUCAUAUUAUCACACUUGGGAAUUGAUGCCUCCAUCUUGUUGCAAUAACCAAUCUUCAGUUUUUGUAAAGAAGGAAGGUGUUGAGGCAGCAAGGCCCUUAAGAAAAACAUUUAAGAGGAAUGUAACAGUUUACAUUGGUUUCCCUACCAAUGUUAACAUGGCAUGUUACCCAUAAGUAUGUUAGAACAGCAAACUGGUUCAAAAAUCAAAAAAUUAAAGAAACAGUAAACGCAAAUAAUGAACACACGAUGUUUGGUAACGAAGUUCAGCCAAUAUUGCCUACGUCUCCGACUGCAGAGCAGCUGCAGUUCCUUUUUAUUAUGAGAGAAAGAGUAAUGUUUACAAUGCACAACUUGUGUAUAAACACUAUUGUCCAGAUUACAACAUCAACCCUGAACCGUACCCCCAGUCGCCAUCAUGCAACAAACUAUGAUACCAUUGUUCCUUAUGCUCAUUUCCCAGUCUUUACCCUCUUUGAACUUUGAAUUUUUUUCUUUAUCAUCAUCUACUCAUCUUUCCUCCAAUUCUUAUCACUUUGAGAACUAAGGCAGGUGUAAAAUUUGUUCUUUUUUCAUCAGUCUUCAAUUCAGCGAGAGAUUUGAAAUUGAAACCAUAUUGUCGACAACUUGAAGCAAAAAUGGCAUCUUUCCAUAAGCAUCACAGUAUCCGUAUGCUUCAUCCAAAGCUACAAUAUAUGGUAGCAACAAUAACAUGUCAUUAUAUCCAAAUACUUCUGAUUAGGCUUUCUUUAAAGUGUAACCUGAAGGAUUUUUCAAGUAAUUAUCUCAUCAGCGGAUGUAUCCAUGAAUUGAUAAAAACAUGCACAUAAGCUUUUGUAUGUAUUUUACACAAUAAAAAAUAGAGAAUUUAUAAAUGGAAAAAAAUAAAAUAAAGAUGCAUUAAGUUUCAACCAUACAAAGAUCCAUAUCAAUUUUUAAAAACUGUGCAGCAAUUAGCUAAGUCUCCAAGAGAUUAAUGAUUGAAACUUACCUCAUGAUAAUUACAGGCAUUCAUGAAGAGGUAUUGGAUUUUCCAUAAACGUCCGGGAGGUUAGCAAACAGAAGAAGCUCUUGCAGUUACUUUGUUCUUGAGAUGCAAUCUCUCCUUGACACUGAUGAUGAAAUGGUUGAGAGGGUCUCACCAGCAGAAUCAGCAUCUACCAAUUUUGUACGUAGACUGUGAUCCAAACAUCAUCGAAGCUCCCGUCCACCAUGAGGACAGAGGUUUUUUCUCGAGUUGGAUGCCAUUGAAUGCACCAAAAUUCCCUUUGGCAACAAAGUGGUAUGUCUCAGGUUUUCUGAGCCGACACAAAAGGAAAAGAUUUAAAAAAAUAUGGGACACAAAGUCAGAAGAAUAACAAAGGGAAAUUGUGCUUUUCAAUUCAAUAUGUUCUAUGCAAUUAGUUGCAGAUAACUUUAUUAUGCCAUCCAGUUGCAUUUUUCAAAGUAAAAUAAAUUUCAUGAUUCA